AACAGAAGGGAUUAUUUCCAGUAGAUAGUCGAUACCCAUGGCUAGGAUACAGCUCCACCAUUACAUUCCAGCAGGCUAGAUAAACCAUAUUUAAUAUAGCUAUUAACUGUAUGAUAAUGUUAUUUAUGAAAAUAUUAGCAUAUUCAGGUUAAGAUGUUUGAAGAUUUCUCAAGGCCCAAUUAGUAUGACUCGGACUGAUAUUAGCAAGUUUGGUGAUUGAUUUGAGAACAUUUGUGUAAUUGGUAUCAUUGUGGUGACAUAGUGUUAUACCACCUCACAGCUCUGUACAUAUUUCGUAAUUAAAAGCUUCAGGUAUGAUGUGAUGGGAUUAGAAUGUGCUGUAAAGUUCUAUUGCUAGACUAGCCACCAGACCCGAAGUUUUGCCAAUCUAAAUUCUAAUACUAGAUUAUCUGCCCCUAGUUUGAAAUUUAGGAAUAUAGAAUCAGACAUAUCCUAGGGACCAAAAUCAUUAAGCUCAAAUUUAUUUAUAAUUUCAAUAUUUUAGAGACAGGGGGCCAGUCUAUUCUAUUGCAUGUGCCAUACCUGUAUCAACCAUAAUUGUAACUAGAAUAUUAACAUCUCGACAGUGUGAAAUUACUGAAUUGUAAAGUCUGCGAUCCUUCAGUAUUUACAUAAUAUGAGAGGGAAAUGUAAGGGACCCGAUCCGGAUUUUAUAACCUAGGACUUCCAAACUUCUCCGCAGUUGCUUGAUCUGAGCUUAGUAUAGUCACCCAUGCUUGACCCAAUUCUGCCAUAUUUCUAUUGCCUUUCAAAAAAGCUCCUGCAAGACCAAUAUAACCACAGGGAAAUUUUGCAUUCGCAUGCUACAGAUUGAGUUUAAGUUCGCUAUUGCCCUUUCUGACCGAGCUGCAGGUAUUAAUGGUCGUUACGGUGUAAGGAGUUUGGGAGCUGGUAGGAGGCGGUUAUUUAUACUCAGUAUGUUUGAUUACUCUGUAUAGUAUGAUUAUUUUAUAUAUAUUUUAUCAUGUCUGACUUUUGUGAAAGGAAACAUUUCAUUAUUCAUGUUUACACCUACAGAUAGGUAAAAAUAUACAUACGAUAUAAACCAUAUUUAACUUAGCUAUGACUUACUGUAUGAUUUAUACUGAGAGAAAUACCCAUAGAUUUCAAAUAGAUUUGCUGAUACAGCGGUUUAUUCAAAUAAGCAAUAUGCAAAUAAGUGCACUCCUGUGUACUUUGAAAUAAAAUAAAUUGAACAAUUUGAAAUUUGAUUUCCCAUACUUUAAACAUUCUUCCGGAGUUUAAAACUGACUAAUUAUGAUGAUGGAUUCACAGGAUAUUGUGAUCCUAAUCAAAUAACUGUAAUUUUAUGGAUUAUUGCAUUUAAUUUACACUUUCAAAGAUUUUGAUAAUGUGUCAUAAUUAAACAGGGAAGUGAUUCAGCUUGAUUUGAAAAAAAUUAAUCCACUUUUUUUUGACAGGAAUAUAUAACUUUCCAACUUCCUAGUUAUACUUUUAUAUCUAGUCAGACUAACAGUAUUUAUAGUUUGUUGUAUUACUACAAUGGUAUUAAGAGCAGAAAAGAUUUUCAAAAAAUAUUUUAUUUGUUAGUUUUGACAUGUAUGCUUCUUACAAACUUGAAGAAAGAAAGCAAGGUAUUUGCUGGUUUCGGCGUAUGCUUCUUUGAAAAAUUUGGUGAAAGAAAGCAAGGUUCCAUGGAGUAAUCCAAUUAUAAGUUUAUAGAAUAGAUAAAACUAGUCUAGAAUAUACUGCCCUUCCCUAGUCGAGUUAUCAUCAUCAUCAUCAUGUUUAUUUCGUUACAUUGGAGGUUAUAGACAACAAUAGUAUGAGAAUAAGCAAAAUUUACGUCAGAAAAAAUAAUGAAGUCUUUUUUUUUGUGCCCAGGACUUUUAUCAUUUUGAAUAAUGAUUGUAUAGUUUAGUUUCAACAUUUAAGUCUCAGGAAGGAAAUCUCCAGCAAAAUAGUUAAUCAUGACUUAAUUAGGAGUCAGCUAGGAGUCAGUUUACCUUCAAGUCGUCUGUUGUCUAACCUCGGUAAUGUUUCAGGAGUCAGUUUACCUUCAGGUCACCUGUUGUCUAACCUCGGUAAUGUUUCAGGAGUCAGUUUACCUCCAGGUCGUCUGUUGUCUAACCUUGGUAAUGUUUCAGGAGUCAGUUUACCUCCAGGUCGUCUGUUGUCUAACCUUGGUAAUGUUUCAGGAGUCAGUUUACCUCCAGGUCGUCUGUUGUCUAACCUCGGUAAUGUUUCUGGAGUCAGUUUACCUCCAGGUCGUCUGUUGUCUAACCUCGGUAAUGUUUCAGGAGUCAGUUUACCUUGAGGUGGUCUGUUGUCUAACCUCGGUAAUGUUUCAGGAGUCAGUUUACCUUGAGGUGGUCUGUUGUCUAACCUCGGUAAUGUUUCAGGAGUCAGUUUACCUUCAGGUCGUCUGUUGUCUAACCUCGGUUAUGUUUCAGGAGUCAGUUUACCUUCAGGUCGUCUGUUGUCUAACCUCGGUAAUGUUUCAGGAGUCAGUUUACCUUGAGGUCGUCUGUUGUCUAACCUCGGUAAUGUUUCAGGAGUCAGUUUACCUUGAGGUCGUCUGUUGUCUAACCUCGGUAAUGUUUAGGAGUCAGUUUACCUUCAGGUCGUCUGUUGUCUAACCUCGGUAAUGUUUCAGGAGUCAGUUUACCUUCAGGCCGUCUGUUGUCUAACCUCGGUAAUGUUUCAGGAGUCAGUUGACCUUCAGGUCGUCUGUUGUCUAACCUUGGUAAUGUUUCAGGAGUCAGUUUACCUUCAGGUCACCUGUUGUCUAACAUCUGUAAUGUUUCAGGAGUCAGUUUACCUUCAGGUCGUCUGUUGUCUAACCUUGGUAAUGUUUCAGGAGUCAGUUUACCUCCAGGUCGUCUGUUGUCUAACCUCGGUAAUGUUUCAGGAGUCAGUUUACCUUCAGGUCGUCUGUUGUCUAACCUCGGUAAUGUUUCAGGAGUCAGUUUACCUUCAAGUCGUCUGUUGUCUAACCUCGGUAAUGUUUCAGGAGUCAGUUUACCUUGAGGUCGUCUGUUGUCUAACCUCGGUAAUGUUUUAGGUGUCAGUUUACCUUCAGGUCACCUGUUGUCUAACCUCGGUAAUGUUUCAGGAGUCAGUUUACCUUCAGGUCGUCUGUUGUCUAACCUCGGUAAUGUUUCAGGCGGGAAAAACAUAAAAAAAAGUUCUGAGAGUUCAUAAAAGACAUCUAAAGAGCUUCCCAAAUAUGUCUAACUAUAGGUGCCAUAUCUAUAUGUUUUUAUACAAUGUCAGGGCAUCCAAUAGACCCUUAGAAAAAUGUUUUGACUCUCCAAAAUCAGAUUUGACUCUUGGGUUUUAAAGCGCAUGUCUAUUUGUCAUAUGUUUUGACCCUUCAGGUUUCUGAGAAAUGGUGAUUUGACUUCUGAAAUUACCAAAAAUUAAGGUUCAACAUAGUACUGAAUACCCUGAAUAUGACAUGCCUGAUUAUAAUCCCAGGGUCAAAGUUCCGAGAGCUCAUGAUAGACAUCUUAACAGAAUAUUCAUUAACAACAUCUGAUAAGCCCAGAAAACAUAGAAAGCCAAUUGGAUAUUAUUUCAUCAUGUCCUGUAACAACCCAUUGGAUAUUAUUUCAUCAUGUCCUGUAACAACCCACCUAUAUAUUUAUUACAGUUGUGUUUAAAAGCUAACAAAAACACUCCAUUGUCCACUAAGAAGUCCAUCUAGCUUGAGUGGUGUUGGUCUCUGUGGGCUAAUUUAUUGAUGGACACAUAUUCUGUGUCGUAUGUCAAAAUGAAUUUCGUGUCAUAUCACUGCCAACCACAGGCGUCUUAUUUGUUUCUCUUUGUCUAAUUAACAUUUGAUGUACGUGUUAUAGAUCAAAUGAUCAUGAAAAUCUGAUGUACUAUGAUGCCAUGUUAACCGGUUAUAUGUAAUAAAUAUUAAAACAAGACUUGUUAUUGCCG